CACACCGCCCGUCACACCAUGGGAGUUGGUUCUACCUGAAGACGGUGCGCUAACCCGCAAGGGAGGCAGCCGGCCAUGGUAGGGUCAGCGACUGGGGUG
rnacentral:rRNA from 1 species